rnacentral:tRNA from 1 species
GGGGAUGUGGCUCAAGUGUUAGUGCACUCAUCUAGCAUGCGAGAGGCACUGGGUUCGAUUCUCAGCACCACA